GAGUUUGAUCCUGGCUCAGAUUGAACGCUGGCGGCAUGCCUUACACAUGCAAGUCGAACGGCAGCACGGGAGCUUGCUCCUGGUGGCGAGUGGCGAACGGGUGAGUAAUGCAUCGGAACGUAUCCUGGAGUGGGGGAUAACGUAGCGAAAGUUACGCUAAUACCGCAUAUUCUGUGAGCAGGAAAGCGGGGGACCUUCGGGCCUCGCGCUCUUGGAGCGGCCGAUGUCGGAUUAGCUAGUUGGUGAGGUAAAGGCUCACCAAGGCGACGAUCCGUAGCAGGUCUGAGAGGAUGAUCUGCCACACUGGAACUGAGACACGGUCCAGACUCCUACGGGAGGCAGCAGUGGGGAAUUUUGGACAAUGGGGGCAACCCUGAUCCAGCCAUGCCGCGUGAGUGAAGAAGGCCUCGGUUGUAAGUACGU
rnacentral:rRNA from 1 species